rnacentral:rRNA from 1 species
AUUGAACGCUGGCGGCAUGCUUUACACAUGCAAGUCGAACGGUAACAGGUUAAGCUGACGAGUGGCGAACGGGUGAGUAAUGCAUCGGAACGUGCCCGGUCGUGGGGGAUAACGCAGCGAAAGCUGCGCUAAUACCGCAUACGAUCUGAGGAUGAGAGCGGGGGACCGUAAGGCCUCGCGCGAUCGGAGCGGCCGAUGUCAGAUUAGGUAGUUGGUGGGGUAAAGGCUCACCAAGCCGACGAUCUGUAGCUGGUCUGAGAGGACGACCAGCCACACUGGGACUGAGACACGGCCCAGACUCCUACGGGAGGCAGCAGUGGGGAAUUUUGGACAAUGGGCGCAAGCCUGAUCCAGCAAUGCCGCGUGCAGGAAGAAGGCCCUCGGGUUGUAAACUGCUUUUGUACGGAGCGAAAAGGCUCUCUCUAAUACGGAGGGCUCAUGACGGUACCGUAAGAAUAAGCACCGGCUAACUACGUGCCAGCCGCCGCGGUAA